rnacentral:rRNA from 1 species
AGAUUGAACGCUGGCGGCAGGCCUAACACAUGCAAGUCGAGCGGCAGCACGGGUACUUGUACCUGGUGGCGAGCGGCGGACGGGUGAGUAAUGCCUAGGAAUCUGCCUGGUAGUGGGGGAUAACGCUCGGAAACGGACGCUAAUACCGCAUACGUCCUACGGGAGAAAGCAGGGGACCUUCGGGCCUUGCGCUAUCAGAUGAGCCUAGGUCGGAUUAGCUAGUUGGUGAGGUAAUGGCUCACCAAGGCGACGAUCCGUAACUGGUCUGAGAGGAUGAUCAGUCACACUGGAACUGAGACACGGUCCAGACUCCUACGGGAGCAGCGAGUGGGGAAUAUUGGACAAGUGGGACGAAAGCCUG